GAUCCUGGCUCAGGAUGAACGCUAGCGACAGGCUUAACACAUGCAAGUCGAGGGGUAGAAGGGCUUUCGGCCUUUGAGACCGGCGCACGGGUGCGAAACGCGUAUACAAUCUACCUAUUACAGGGGGAUAGCCCAGAGAAAUUUGGACUAAUACCCCAUAGUAUUAUAGAGUUGGCAUCAUUUUAUAAUUAAAGUUGAGGCGGUAAUAGAUGAGUAUGCGUCCUAUUAGCUAGUUGGUGAGGUAACGGCUCACCAAGGCUACGAUAGGUAGGGUCCUGAGAGGGAGAUCCCCCACACUGGUACUGAGACACGGACCAGACUCCUACGGGAGGCAGCAGUGAGGAAUAUUGGUCAAUGGACGCAAGUCUGAACCAGCCAUGUCGCGUGCAGGAAGACGGCCUUAUGGGUUGUAAACUGCUUUUCUAUAGGGAGAAGCCCCCUUUCGUGAGAGGGGCUGACGGUACUAUAGGAAUAAACACCGGCUAACUCCGUG
rnacentral:rRNA from 1 species